UUUUGCCUACGGGGCGCCGCAGUGGGGAAUAUUGGGCAAUGGGCGCAAGCCUGACCCAGCAACGCCGCGUGAAGGAAGAAGGCCCUCGGGUUGUAAACUUCUUUUAUUCGGGACGAAACAAAUGACGGUACCGAAUGAAUAAGCCACGGCUAACUACGUGCCAGCAGCCGCGGUAAUACGUAGGUGGCAAGCGUUAUCCGGAUUUACUGGGUGUAAAGGGCGUGUAGGCGGGAGAGCAAGUCAGACGGGAAAUUCCAGGGCUCAACCCUGGAACUGGGUUUGAAACUGUUCUUCUUGAGGGAUGG
rnacentral:rRNA from 1 species